CAAUGGACAGGAUAACUGUCAAGAUAACAGUGAUGAAGAGAACUGUCUUACAACAGCAGAAUCCCCUGGACAGGACUUUGUGACUCUGGACUAUCGACUCCACUAUUACCCUGACCACCGUGGUUUGACCUCCCGCCCCCUCCUUAUCCUCCAGAGGAUACAAAUGAUUCUGAGAGGGAACUACCUGUCUAUGAAGAGCCAGCCACAGAAUCCAUCGAAUCACUGCA